rnacentral:rRNA from 1 species
UACGAAGGGUGCAAACGUUGCUCGGAAUUAUUGGGCGUAAAGCGCACGUAGGCGGCAUUGCAAGUCCCAUGUGAAAUCCCACGGCUUAACCGUGGAAGUGCAUGGGAAACUGCAGUGCUUGAGUACUUAAGAGGAUCGCGGAAUUCCCGGUGUAGAGGUGAAAUUCGUAGAUAUCGGGAGGAACACCAGUGGCGAAGGCGGCGAUCUGGGAAGACACUGACGCUGAGGUGCGAAAGCGUGGGGAGCAAACAGG